rnacentral:lncRNA from 1 species
CGCCCUACUAUCCUACAGAGCAAUUCAAACUCUUACUCUUAGUAAGACUAAGGCUAGGGCGACUCAUUCUAUUCUCUCUGAGGUCAGGUAGGUGAAGCGUCUAGCUUAGGGGGGCGCGUCAAAUCGCUGAAAGGCCUUGGUGAUUUUACAAUUUGGUAAUCUGAAGAUAGAAAACCGCAAUGAUUCCAAACUUCACUUCAAUAGUCUCGGAUCCAUGCUGCCCCGACUCCCUUCCCUUGCAUUGCCAGGAAGAAUGAGUGGGUACAUAGGGAGCAGUCAUUACGUUAGCAAGCCCGCAAGCAAUUCAUCUGUUUUGGUUAGUGGUUUUUCAGUCUUAUCCGCUGGUGGCCACUGGUGGGAAAGAAAGGACUCGUAGGAUCAUCUGGAUGAAAGGGGGGCCCAGCAUCAGAAACUGCGGCUUGCCCCGGCAUCUCUUACCACUAGAGAUAGAGAUCCAGAUUCAGACUAAGACCUUCUCUCGCGGUCCCCAGGAAAUUCAGUAGGCUCGACCCAAGGAAUCGAAGGCUUUGCUCACGAGAAAGGGGAUCGGAAUCUCGUUCAGAGUGAGCCAGUAGUA